GUGGAUUAGAUACCCUGGUAGUCCUAGCUGUAAACGAUGAGCACUUGUCUGGGGAUCCUCCCAUAGGUUCCCGGACGUAGCGAAAGUGUUAAGUGCUCCGCCUGGGGAGUAUGGUCGCAAGGCUGAAACUCAAAGAAAUUGACGGGGGCUCACACAAGCGGUGGAGGAUGUGGCUUAAUUCGAGGCUACGCGAAGAACCUUAUCCAGGUCUUGACAUGUACGGAUUAACCCCGUGAAAGCGGGGCCACAGCUUCGGCUGGAACGUGCACAGGUGCUGCACGGUCGUCGCCAACU
rnacentral:rRNA from 1 species